rnacentral:rRNA from 1 species
GACGAACGCUGGCGGCGUGCUUAACACAUGCAAGUCGAACGGAAAGGCGCGAGCUUUCUGGAUUGCUCGAGUGGCGAACGGGUGAGUAACACGUGGGGAAUCUGUCCUGCACUCUGGGAUAAGCCUUGGAAACUGGGUCUAAUAUCGGAUAGGAUCUUUCUCCUCAUGGGGUUUGGUGGAGAGUUUUUCGGUGUAGGAUGAGUCCGCGGCUUAUCGGCUUGUUGGUGGGGUAUUGGCCUACCAAGGCGACGACGGGUAGCCGGCCUGAGAGGGUGAUCGGGCACAUUAGUCCUACGGUACGCACCAGACGCGUACGGGCGGCAGCAGUCGGGAAUAUUGCACAAUGGGCGAACGCCUGAUGCAGCGACGCCGCGUGAGGGAUGCCGGCCUUCGGGUUGUAAACAUCUUUCAGUAGAGACGAGGCGGAAGUGACGGUACCUACACAAAAAGCACCGGCUAACUACGUG